UUAAGUUCAGCGGGUAUCCCUACCUGAUCCGAGGUCAACCUGAGAAAAUUAUGGUUGGGGGUCGGCGGGCGCCGGCCGGGCCUACAAGAGCGGGUGACGAUGCCCCAUACGCUCGAGGACCGGACGCGGUGCCGCCGCUGCCUUUCGGGCCCGUCCCCGGGGGGACGCGGCCCAACACACAAGCCGGGCUUGAGGGCAGC
rnacentral:misc_RNA from 1 species